GAUCUGUUUAAAUUCAUGCACGAAAUCAACUGAUGUCGCAUGGGUAUGAGGAGUCUGCGUGCCGCAAAUAAUAAGUCUAUUUUAUAUUUAGUCUGUGUAUAUAAUUCUGUGCUUGGUAAUUUUCUAUUUGACACUUUUCUUUCAUAAUAACUACCUAAUUAAUCACACUGGACUUGACCAUAACUUGCUAACUAAGGUUGCAUUUAAUUAUUCAACAACCAGCAGUUAAGUGGCAGUUAUCCAUUUAACUAGUCAAAUACCUCAACUUUUUGGCUAGUUAAACUUAGCCGAUCAAUUUUCCCUAACCAGGUAACCAUGGUUAAAGAUAUUUUAGGGGGAAAGAGAAAUAGUUUUAACCAGCUGAUUAAACCUCCCACCUAUUAUUCUUCUUUUCAUUUUACCCAUCCCUUAUUUUUCUUCAUGUUUUGCCUCUCUCUCUCUCUCUCUCCUCA
rnacentral:lncRNA from 1 species